CCUACGGGCGGCAGCAGUGAGGAAUAUUGGUCAAUGGCCGGAAGGCUGAACCAGCCAAGCCGCGUGAAGGACGAAGGUGCCAAGCAUUGUAAACUUCUUUUGUCAAGGGACAAAAUCAGGCUCGAGAGCCUGACCGAGGGUACUUGAAGAAAAAGCAUCGGCUAACCCCGUGCCAGAAGCCGCGGUAAUACGGAGGAUGCGAGCGUUAUCCGGUUUGAUGGGGUUAAAGGGGUGGGUAGGCGGGCUGUUAGGUCAGCGGUAAAAGCCCGGGGCUCAACCCCGGCGAGCCGUUGAAACUGGCUGUCUUGAGAUGUCGAGAGGUAUGCGGAAUGCGCAGUGUAGCGGUGAAAUGCUUAGAUAUUGCGCAGAACUCCGAGUGCGAAGGCAGCAUACCGGCGGCGAUCUGACGCUGAGGCACGAAAGCGUGGGUAUCGAACAGGAUUAGAUACCCUAGUAGUC
rnacentral:rRNA from 1 species